rnacentral:lncRNA from 1 species
UGUCUGCUCUGAUUAGCAUAGAAUCCAGCCAGUUCUUUUUCUAUGAUCAAGGACAAUGUUUUUUUCAACUGUACCAGGAGAUUUAUAAUCUACCAGCUGGAAACAUUUUUUUUUCUAAAAACAACAAUGUUAAAAUCUACAGGGGUGGGGUUAUAAAGAAAUAUCUAGCACACCCUCAGAGAAGCUUGCAUUAUAUCUAGACCUUGGUUCAGAAUGUGUUAUGUUCUGUUCCAGAGAUGACAAAAGAUUUAGCAGAAAAGCAACCUUGCAUGAUGGGGGAGCUGGAAGGCCAUAACCCCCACACAAAGAGAGGGCUACAAUUGGAAGCGAGAUGGGACAUGUUUGUUUUUGACAUUUUCCACGAAAAAUUCCUGUAUAAUGCAGGGCUGAUGUGAUGUAACAUCUGGAGUCAGCAUCCCUCAUUUUAAGAUAAUUUCUUCUUAUUAUCUACUUUGGUUUAACCACAAUCCCCCUACCCCAUCACCUCAUUUUCCCCGUGCUGAUUUUAGUGGCCUAAAACAACAACAACUUCUUCUUACCUCUGAUAUUUCUGUGGAUUCAGUCAGCUCAGCUGGGUAGUUCUCACUUGGUUUUUUUCAUGUGUUACAGACAUCACCUGGGGCUAGAGCCAUCAGAAGUCCCAACAAGGCUGG